rnacentral:rRNA from 1 species
AGUGAACGCUGGCGGUAGGCCUAACACAUGCAAGUCGAACGGCAGCACAGUAAGAGCUUGCUCUUACGGGUGGCGAGUGGCGGACGGGUGAGGAAUACAUCGGAAUCUACUUUUUCGUGGGGGAUAACGUAGGGAAACUUACGCUAAUACCGCAUACGACCUACGGGUGAAAGCAGGGGAUCUUCGGACCUUGCGCGAUUGAAUGAGCCGAUGUCGGAUUAGCUAGUUGGCGGGGUAAAGGCCCACCAAGGCGACGAUCUGUAGCUGGUCUGAGAGGAUGAUCAGCCACACUGGAACUGAGACACGGUCCAGACUCCUACGGGAGGCAGCAGUGGGGAAUAUUGGACAAUGGGCGCAAGCCUGAUCCAGCCAUACCGCGUGGGUGAAGAAGGCCUUCGGGUUGUAAAGCCCCUUUGUUGGGAAAGAAAAGCAGCAGGUUAAUACCCCGCUGUUCUGACGGUACCCAAAGAAUAAGCACCGGCUAACUUCGUG